UGGGGAAUUUUGGACAAUGGGGGAAACCCUGAUCCAGCCAUCCCGCGUGUGCGAUGAAGGCCUUCGGGUUGUAAAGCACUUUUGGCAGGAAAGAAACGUCAUGGGUUAAUACCCCGUGAAACUGACGGUACCUGCAGAAUAAGCACCGGCUAACUACGUGCCAGCAGCCGCGGUAAUACGUAGGGUGCAAGCGUUAAUCGGAAUUACUGGGCGUAAAGCGUGCGCAGGCGGUUCGGAAAGAAAGAUGUGAAAUCCCAGAGCUCAACUUUGGAACUUCAUUUUUAACUACCGGGCUAGAGUGUGUCAGAGGGAGGUGGAAUUCCGCGUGUAGCAGUGAAAUGCGUAGAUAUGCGGAGGAACACCGAUGGCGAAGGCAGCCUCCUGGGAUAACACUGACGCUCAUGCACGAAAGCGUGGGGAGCAAACAGG
rnacentral:rRNA from 1 species